rnacentral:rRNA from 1 species
CAGCAGCCGCGGUAAUACGAAGGGGGCUAGCGUUGUUCGGAAUUACUGGGCGUAAAGCGCACGUAGGCGGACAUUUAAGUCAGGGGUGAAAUCCCGGGGCUCGACCCCGGAACUGCCUUUGAUACUGGGUGUCUAGAGUAUGGAAGAGGUGAGUGGAAUUCCGAGUGUAGAGGUGAAAUUCGUAGAUAUUCUGAGGAACACCAGUGGCGAAGGCGGCUCACUGGUCCAUUACUGACGCUGAGGUGCGAAAGCGUGGGGAGCAAACAGGAUUAGAGACCCCGGUAGUCCCUGUCUCUUAUAC